AGCAAUAUUAUUUUACCACAUCAACUAUGCCUUGUAAAAAAAAUAUUCUGAAGGGUGUUUAGGAAUUUAUAAAUGCAAUGCCAGAAGAGAUGAAAAACUUGAAUUUAACCUAGAUGAAGUUCAACAUCCAAAAACACUGAAUUAUUUGCAAAGAAAGAGAAGAACUGCAGGGGGUAAACAGUUGUUGUAUCAAAGACCAAAUAGCACUACUUAGUAUCCAGCUUCCGGGGCUUAGGAAUAAAGCCUCUUUAUGCAUUGUGAAAAAAUCCUGCAGGGAAUUGUGUUCUUGCUCAACUUUGGUGAGGUUUCAAAUCAGUGCUUCGCGUCUUCCUCGUCACAAAACUUGGUAUACUGGUCAGGGUCCAUCAAUGCUUUGACCUCGUCGGGUUUGUUCAUCUCAACUUUCAAAAUCCAUCCUUGUUCAUAGCAGUUUGCAUUGAUCAGAGCAGGACCGUUGUUCAGUUCCUCAUUAAAUUCCACUACCUUCCCUGAAACAGGAGAAUUG
rnacentral:misc_RNA from 1 species